GAUGAACGCUAGCGGCAGGCUUAAUACAUGCAAGUUGAGGGGCAGCAUGAUAUACGCGAGUAUAUUGAUGGCGACCGGCGGACGGGUGAGUAAUAGGUAGGAGACCUACCUCAUACAGGGGGAUAGCAUAGAGAAAUCUGUGGUAAUACCCCAUGAGGUUAUAUGAAUAGAGGCAUAUAAUCAAAGCAUAAGCGAUUAUGCGGUAUGAGAGGGGCCUACUGACCAUUAGCUAGUUGGUGAGGUAAGGGCUCACCAAGGCGAAGAUGGUUAGGGGUUUUGAGAGAGAGACCCCCCACAUUGGAACUGAGAGACGGUCCAGACUCCUACGGGAGGCAGCAGUAGGGAAUAUUGGGCAAUGGGCGAAAGCCUGACCAGCCAUGCCGCGUGAAGGAAGACGGCCUUAUGGGUUGUAAACUUCUUUACUACGCGAAUAGAGGUUAGUACGAGAUACUAAUAGGAAGGUAGUGUAGUAAAAGCACCGGCUAACUCCGUG
rnacentral:rRNA from 1 species